rnacentral:rRNA from 1 species
GAUGAACGCUGGCGGCGUGCUUAACACAUGCAAGUCGAACGAGAAGUGAAGACGGAAACCUUCGGGCGGAAGGCUUUAUUUCGAGUGGCGGACGGGUGAGUAACGCGUGGGUAACCUGCCUCAUACAGGGGGAUAACAGUUGGAAACGACUGUUAAUACCGCAUAAGACCACAGCACCGCAUGGUGCGGGGGUAAAAACUCCGGUGGUAUGAGAUGGACCCGCGUUCGAUUAGCCAGUUGGCGGGGUAACGGCCCACCAAAGCGACGAUCGAUAGCCGAUCUGAGAGGAUGACCGGCCACAUUGGGACUGAGACACGGCCCAAACUCCUACGAGAGGCAGCAGUGGGGAAUAUUGCACAAUGGGGGAAACCCUGAUGCAGCGACGCCGCGUGAGUGAAGAAGUAUUUCGGUAUGUAAAGCUCUAUCAGCAGGGAAGAAAAUGACGGUACCUGAGGAAGAAGCCCCGGCUAACUACGUG